rnacentral:rRNA from 1 species
CCGCGGGAUUAGAGUUUGAUCCUGGCUCAGGACGAACGCUGGCGGCGCGCUUAAUACAUGCAAGUCGAGCGAGAACCAGGGCUUCGGCCCUGGGGACAGCGGCGAACGGGUGAGUAACACGUGGGUAAUCAACCCCCGACACCGGGAUAGCCCAGGGAAACUUGGAUUAAUACCGGAUGCUCCAUCUGGCUUUCGAGCCGGCUGGAAAAGGGUAGCUUCGGCCUCCGGUCGGGGACGAGCCCGCGGCGGAUUAGCUUGUUGGUGAGGUAAAGGCUCACCAAGGCGACGAUCCGUAGCUGGUCUGAGAGGACGAUCAGCCACACUGGGACUGAGACACGGCCCAGACUCCUACGGGAGGCAGCAGUAGGGAAUCUUGCGCAAUGGGCGAAAGCCUGACGCAGCGACGCCGCGUGAGGGAAGGAGGCCUUCGGGUUGUAAACCUCUUUCAGGAGGGACGAAGCCACUCGGGUUAAUAGCCCAGAGGGUGACGGUACCUCCAGAAGAAGCCCCGGCUAACUACGUGCCAGCAGCCGCGGUAAUACGUAGGGGGCAAGCGUUGUCCGGAUUUAUUGGGCGUAAAGAGCGUGUAGGCGGCCAAACAGGUCAGCUGUGAAAACUCGAGGCUCAACCUCGAGACGUCGGUUGAAACCGUUUGGCUAGAGUCCGGAAGAGGAGAGUGGAAUUCCCGGUGUAGCGGUGAAAUGCGCAGAUAUCGGGAAGAACACCCGUGGCGAAGGCGGCUCUCUGGGACGGUACUGACGCUGAGACGCGAAAGCGUGGGGAGCGAACAGGAUUAGAUACCCUGGUAGUCCACGCC